rnacentral:lncRNA from 1 species
GAAGGAGCCCUCAUACCCGCUCUCCUCCUCCACCCCAUACCUGAAUAGAUAUAGGGUGGCCUCGCCUUACCUUAGAAGGCUACAGAAGAGAAAAAGGUGAAGCCCACCUUGUAGGGGCUUUCCCCAGACCUCUGUCCGGCCUAAGGACCGUCUCUAAGUUAGAGCUCCUGUCUCCUCACUUAGAGAGCGUACCAAUCCACUUCGUUCCCCGAUCAAAAUACAAAUAAGAUUAAGCGGAAUGAAUCAAAGAACUGAAGAAAGUGAAAACUUCCCUCUAAAAGAAAAGAAAAUUGAAACAAGAUAAAAUCCGUACUUUUUUUUUUUUUUUCGAAAAAUAUUAGUUCUCGAAAGUCUUCGUCUCCUUGAUAGCUGGGAGUUCUCCAAAAGUAUGAAAAGCAGGAGGACUUUGUACCAUCCAUUCCGGUGUGGUUGAAUUCUGUUCAACAGCCCAAGGACUUGGAGCACAUCUUUUGUUAUUUCCACUGCUUGAAGUGAUUGUUACGACCACGAAGAAACGACAAAUCCCAACUACGGAUAUAUAAGAGCCAAAACUGCUAAGGGUAUUCCAUCCAGCGUAAGCAUCUGGAUAAUCGGGAAUGCGACGUGGCAUACCCGAAAGCCCUAAGAAAUGCAUGGGAAAGAAGGUCAGAUUAACCCCGAAAAAAGUGAUCCAAAAAUGGAUUUGACCUAAAGUUUCAGGGUAUGUCCGACCAAAGAUUUUACCCACCCAAUAGUGAAAUCCUGCAAAUAAAGCAAAAACGGCUCCCAUAGAAAGUACAUAAUGGAAAUGUGCAACCACAUAAUAAGUAUCAUGUAGAGCAAUGUUUAGCCCAGAAUUUGCCGGGACUAUUCCAGUGAGUCCCCCUAUGGUGAACAAAAAGAUGAACCCUACAGCAAAUAACAUGGGUGUUUUGUAUUGUAUCGAACCUCCCCACAUGGUAGCGAUCCAACUAAAGAUUUUGAUUCCAGUGGGGACAGCUAUGAUCAUGGUAGCUGCGGUGAAGUAGGCACGGGUAUCAACGUCUAAGCCUACAGUAAACAUAUGAUGAGCCCAACCAAGAAAUCCAAGAACACCUAUACUGAUCAUGGCAUAAACCAUGCCUAGAUACCCGAAGACCGGUUUUCCCGAAAAAGUCGAAACGAUAUGACUUAUGAUACCGGAUCCACGCAAAAUGGGAAUAUACACCUCUGAUGACCGAAGAACCGAAAGAGAUGCUGGUAUAAUAUGGGGUCUCCCCCUCCAGCGGGAUCAGAAAAGGUUGUAUUAAAGUUUCGAUCGGUUAAUAACAUGGUAAUUGCCCCUGCCAGUACCGGAAGUGAUAAUAAAAGUGGGAAUGCUGUCACUAGAACGGACCACACAAAAAGGGGUGAUCUAUGCAUAGUCAUUCCAGGCCCACGCAUGUUGGAGAUAGUUGUUAUAAAAUUGAUAGAACCUAAAAUGGACGAAACACCAGAUAGAUGAAGACUAGAAAUUGCUGAAUCAACUGCUCCUCCAGAAUGGCUGGUAAUACCGCUUAAGGGCGGAUAGACCGUCCACCCAGUGCCGCUACCCACUUCUACUAAGGCUGAGCUUAAUAGGAGCAAGAGACUUGGUGGCAACAACCAGAAUGAAAUAUUAUUUAAUCGCGGAAAUGCCAUGUCAGGUGCACCUAUCAGAAUCGGAACAAACCAAUUACCAGAUCCACCUAUCAUCGCCGGCAUAACCAUAAAAAAGAUCAUUAAAAAAGCGUGAGCCGUUAUUAAAACAUUAUAAAGUUGAUGAUUUCCACCAAGAAUUUGAUCGCCGGGUCGUGCUAAUUCCAUACGAAUCAGUACUGAGAAGCAUGUGCCCAUCACUGCAGCAAUGGCACCGAAAAUGAAAUAUAAAGUCCCUAUAUCCUUGUGGUUAGUGGAGAACGGCCAUCGGACCGGAUUUGUCAUAAAAUUGAUCUUCUUUCCUUUCCUUCCUUAUCAGAGAGGGGCCCCGCUCGGGGCUUAUUUAUUGAAAAAGGGGGAGUGAGGGGAAGGUCCGGAAAGCCCUCACUUUAUUGAUGGGACAUCUUGAUCCCUUUUCCUCUAACCCCUGGUUCAGGAAAAGGUCAACGCAAAGAUCUUACUUCGAAGCAAUCUCUGGGGUUUUUCCUUAUCCGAACGGGUCUCGCAAGAAAAUAGGAUUUCAUAUUGAGCUCCAAAUAUACGCUAUUGGGAUUGGGAUAGGAUGGCUCCUACUAGCCCCUCCUAAGAACCGCACGUGCGAGUUCCCCCGCAUGCGGCUCAAGUGGCGAAGGCCCUUUCCUUCGCGCUUGGUAAGCGCUUCGCUGUAGUCAAGCUUACUGCUAGCCUAUCGGCUAGAGCCAAGCUUCGACCGCGACUGCUCGUCGCUUCUGGCCGCCUUAUUCCGUCACCCGAGAUCCAAGUCAGCACCGGCAAAGAUCUCUUGAUUCCUCGCGGCCGGGCCGGCUUGGAAGCAAGCUACCUGUCGCCUAUCUCACCCCCUUUCUUAUUAUUAGUAAGAUAGGUUGCCCCUUUCCUCUUUCUCUAAUAAUAAGGUGAGCUUCCAAAGCUCCUUCCUUCAGCUGGGUGAGCCUUCGCUUUUUGGAUCGUCUUCUGCCCAAUGCGGUACCCUCCCGUUUUUUGGUUCCCAUUGGGUUUACCUUGUUUACAGGUCGACCCCAUGGCAGCAAGAAAAGGUGAUCUUGUGCUAUACUCCGGUGAUCUCUUUCCUACCGAGGCACGCAAACUCCCAUCGUGUCCCAGAUCACAUUCCGUGAAUCGAAAGGGGAAGCCUACUCAUCCAUCAGCUCCUCUCGUAGACCGGUGCGGUUUUACGAAGCGUCUAAGCACAGUUCACUCGCGUUGAUCAAUCAAGAGCUUUGCCGCCACUCCUUAAGGUUACCUCUUGUAUCAAACACUUCUUGCAUUGUUUCCCACGCUUCAUACCCCCCUCUUUCUUCUUAAGGUAAGGUAAAGGGCCGGGCAUGGUGGGGUAGGAGCACCCUGUCGGAAAGAUUUUUGGCUUGACCAAGAAGUCUUAUGUCCUCCAAGUCGCACGGCGUUUUAACCGAAAGAACUUCUUGCGCAAUUCAUGCCUUUCUGUUUUUAUGACCAGAAAUUGUUUCUUGAUUUCCAUUUCAAAUUGUUCUCUGGACUUUUUAUCAAUAUGAGGUGAUCGUAACACAGUAUAUAAGACUCGUGAUUCAGGCAAUCCAAUCUUCCGUGUGUAAAGCGGAAGCCCCAAAAAAGGUUUUUCAUAAAUGGGUGAUCAGAAGAUCGAAUCACUAUGCGUAUCUUGGUGGUCGUUACUUUUGGUGGUCUUUCUUUUUGGCUGACUCCUCUUCCUGUUCUAUUGAUAAAAAAAAGCAUCCAGCAGCGCCACGCCAGUAGAAAGAGUGUUGCUACUAAGCGUCGCUGCUUUUGGGGAACUUGGUUGUUAACCAACGGCGCUAACCAAAACCGCCUCCUGCCGCCUAAUUCAAAAAAUGUCAACCCUCGAUCCGGCUGGGGCUUAAACAUGGAAUGAAUUUUUUAUGCCUAAGUCAACCCAUGAAACAGGUGUGCGGGCACUAAGCCGGUCGGAGAGGCAGAAUGCGCAAGUCAGGGAUCGGUCCGGUCCCCCUUAAGUGCUGCCUGCUGCGCAACCCUCGAUUCGGUUUGAUCUUAGACUGAGAAUGAACUCCGUAUGCUUAGACUAGGGAUGAACUCCGUAUGCCUAAGUUAACCCACGAAACGAGCGUGCGGACGCUCAGCCGACCAGAGAGGCAGAAUGCGCAAGCCGGGGAUCGAACGGGUGGUAGGUGGGUUCAAGCACAUCUUCAUAUUUCUGCCGUGUCAAUGCCAUUUUUACGGCUUGUAAAUUCAUACAAUAGUCCCCUAAGCCUUCCUGUGAAGUUUCGUGGCAAGACGACCCGUUUUCUAUUUUUCAUGAUUUUUAAAACUUUUUACGAUUCGAGAUUUUUUAAAAAUUUUUUAGAAAGAGUUUUGUCCCCAAAUUUGGUAGAGGUGAUCCUUGUAUUUUUUUUGGCAUGCACAAAAACAUUCAGCUAAAAACUUGAAGUGAAGAAGAUUUUGUGUCCAUUUGAAAAAAGUGUCCCCAUUUCAGACACUUUAAUGGCUACUGGCAGCAAACCUAUAAAACCUCAAAUGCUCUUUAAGGGGGUGUGAGUUCUCGAGGUUUGAUGAGGGAUAGGGGGCCAAUAUAAGGGCCAAGUACCAGCACCCAUCGCAUAUCAUGUGCGCACAUCCCCCCAGCCCCCCAAUCGCCGGAACCCCCAAUGCCACUGGUUAGGCACUCCGACGAUGCUCCGACGAUGCUCUGACGAUGGUGCCCCGAUCGAAAAAAAAGUGGCACCAGCACAUGCCCGAGCCCAGCAUGUGCACCGUGGCUCAAACUUUUAGACUGGGAAUGAACUCCGUAUGCCUAAGCCAACCCACGAAACGAGCGCGCGGGUGCUUAGCCGGUCGAAGAGGUAGAAUGCGCAAGUCAGGGAUCAGCCCGGUCCCCCUCUGCUUGCUGUCGGUCCCGCUGCCACAACCCUCAAUCCGACUAGGGCUUAGACAUGGAAUGAACUCCCUAUGCCUAAGUCAACCCACGAAAUGGGCGUGCGGGCGCUCAGUCGACCGGAGAGGCAAAAUGCGAAAGUCGAGGAUCGGCCCGGUGCCCUCUACGUUUUGCCGAUCCUGCUAUCGUAACCCUCGGUCUGGUUCGAUCUUAGACUGGGAAUAAACUCUGUAUGCUUAGACUGGGGAUGAACUUCGUAUGCCUAAGUCAACCCAUGAAACUAGUGUACGAGCAGUCAACCGACCGAAGAGGCCGAUCAGAGAGGCAGAAUAUGCAAGUCGAGGAUCGACCUGGUCCCUCCCUGCGUGCUACCGAUCCUGCUUUUGAUCCUGCUAUCGCAACUUUCGGUCCGGUCCGAUCUUAGACUGGGAAUGAACUCCGUAUGCUUAGACUUGGAAUGAACUCCGUAUGCCUAGGCCAACCCACAAAACGAGCGUGCGGGCUCUCAACCGACCGGAGAGGCAGAAUGCAUAAGCGAGGGACCAACCCGAUCCCCCCUACGUGCUGUCGAUCUUGCUGCCGUAACCCUUGGUCUGAUCCGAUCUUAGACUGGGAAUGAACUUCGUAUGCCUAAGUCAACCCAUGAAAUGAGUGUUCUGGCAUUGAGCCGGCUGAAGAUGCAUAAUGCGCAAGUCGAGGAUCGACCCAAUCCCCCUCUGCGUGCUGCUGGUCCCGCUGCCACAACCCUCGGUCUAGCUGGGGCGUAGACAUGGAAUGAACUCCCUAUGCCUAAGCCAACCCAUGAAACGGGCGUGCGGGCGCUCAGCCGAACGGAAAGGCAGAAUGUGUAAGUCAGGGAGUUGACCGGUCGCCCCUGCGUGCUGUCAAUACUACUACUGCAACCCUCGGUCCGGUUCGAUAUUAGACUGGAAAUGAACUCCGUAUGCUUAGACUGAGGAUGAACUCCGCAUGCCUAAGUCAACCCAUGAAACGAGCGUGCGGGUGCUCAGCCAACCGGAGAGGCUGGUCGGAGAGGCUAAAUACGCAAGCCGGGGAUCGGCCCGAUCCCACUGCGUGUUGCCGAUCCCACUGCGUGUUACUGAUCCUGCUGUCGUAGCCCUCAGUCCGGUCCGAUCUUAGACUGGGAAUGAACUCCAUAUGCUUAGACAUGGAAUGAACUCCGUAUGCCUAAGCCAACCCACGAAACGGGUGUCCGGGAGCUCAGCCGAUCGGAGAGGCAAAAUGCACAAGCCGAGGAUCAGCCUAGUCCCCCCUACGUGCUACCGAUCCUACUGUCGCAAACCUCGGUCUUCAUAUUUCUGCCAUGCCAAUGCCAUUUUUAUGGCUAGUAAAUUCAUACAAUGGUCCCCUAAGCCUUCAUGUGAAGUUUCGUGGCAAGACGACCCGUUUUCUAUUUUUCACAAUUUUUAAAACUUUUUGCAGUUCAAGAUUUUUUAAAAUUUUUUUAGAAAGAGUUUUGUCCCCAAAUUUGGUAGAGGUGAUCUUGUAUUUUUGUUGGCUUGCACAAAAAAAUUCAGCUAAAAACUCGAAGUGGAGAAUAUUUUGUGACCGUUUGAAAAAAGUGUCCCCAUUUCAGACACUUUAAUAGCUUCUAACAGAAAACCUAUAAAAUCUCAAAUGCUCUUUAAGGGGGUGUGCGUUCUCGAGGUUUGAUGAGGGAUAGAGGCCAAUAUAAGGGCCAAGUACCUGUACCCAUCGCACAUCAUAUGCGCACACCCCCCGGCCCCCCCAAUCGUCGAAACCCCCAAUGCCGCCUGUUAGGCUCUCCGGUGAUGCUCCGGCGAUGCUUCGACGAUGGUGCCCCGGGCAAAAAAAAUGCAGCAUCAACACAUGCCCAAGCCCAGCAUGUGCAUCGUGGCUCAAACUCUUAGACUGGGAAUGAACUUUGUAUGCUUAGACAUGGAAUGAACUCCAUAUGCCUAAGCCAACCCACGAAACGAGCGUGCGGGCGCUCAGCCGAUCGGAGAGCAGAAUGCGCAAGCCGAGGAUCGACCCAGUCCCCCUGCGUGCUGUUGAUCCUGCUACCACAACCUUCAGUUUGGUUAGAUCUUAGACUAGGAAUGAACUCUGUAUGCUUAGACUGGGGAUGAACUCCGUAUGCCUAAGUCAACCCACGAAACGAGCGUGCGGCCGCUGGCCGACCAAAGAGGUAGGAUGGCAAGCCGGGGAUCGAACGGGUGGUAGGUGUGUUCAAGCACAUCUUCAUAUUUCUGCCAUGCCAAUGCCAUUUUUAUGGCCUGUAAAUUCAUACAAUGGUCCCAUAAGCCUUCAUGUGAAGUUUCGUGGCAAGACGACCCGUUUUCUAUUUUUCAUGAUUUUUGAAACUUUUUACGGUUCCAAAUUUUUUUAAAUUUUUUUAGAAAGAUUUUUGUCCCCAAAUUUGGUAGAGGUGAUCCUUGUAAUUUUUUUAGCAUGCAUAAAAAAAUUCAGCUAAAAACUCGAAGUGGAGAAGAUUUUGUGACUGUUUGAAAAAAGUGUCCCUAUUUCGGACACUUUAACGGCUACUGGAAGCAAACCUAUAAAAUCUCAAAUGCUCUUUAAGGGGGUGUGAGUUCUCGAGGUUUGAUGAGGGAUAGGGGCCCAAUAUAAGGGCCAAGCACUGGCAGCCAUCGCACAUCAUGUGCGCACACCCCCCGGCCCCCUCAAUCGUCGGAACCCUCAAUGCCGUUGGUUAGGCUCUCCGACGAUGCUCCGACGAUGGUGCCCUGAGCAAAAUAAAUGUGGCACCAGCACAUGCCCGAGCCCAGCAUGUGCACCGUGGCUGAAAAUCUUAGACUAGGAAUGAACACCGUAUGCUUAGGCAUGGAAUGAACUCCGCAUGCCUAAGCCAACCCACGAAACGAGCGUACGGGCGCUCAGUCGGUCGGAGAGGCAGAAUGCGCAAGCUGGGGAUCGGCCCGAUCCCCCCCUGCGCGCUAUCGAUCCUGCUACCACAACCCUCAGUCCGGUCUGAUCUUAGACUGGAAAUGAACUCCAUAUGCAUAAAUCAACCCACGAAAUGAGCGUGUGGGCACUGAGUUGACCGAAGAGGCAUAACGCGCAUGUCGGGGAUCAGCCCGAUCCCCCUCUACGUGCUGCAAGUCUCGCUGCCACAACCCUUGGUCCGGUCGGGGUUUAGACAUGGAAUGAACUCCCUAUGCCUAAGCCAACCCAUGAAACGAGCGUGUGGGCACUCAGCAGGCCGAAGAGGCAGAAUGCGCAAGCCGGGGAUCGGCCCGAUCCCCCAUACGUGCUGUCGAUCUUAGACUGGGAAUGAACUCCGUAUGCUUAGACUGGGGAUGAACUCCGUAUGCCUAAGUCAACCCACGAAACGAGCGUGUGGGUGCUCAACCGAUCGGAGAGGCCGGCCAGAGAGGCAUAAUACGCAAGCCGAGGAUCAACUCGAUCCCCUUCUGCGUGCUGCCAAUCUGCUACCGACCUUGCUGCUAGAACCCUCGGUCUGGCUAGGCCAUAGACAUGGAAUGAACUCCGUAUGCCUAUGCCAACCCAAGAAAUGAGUGUGCAGGCAUUCAACCGGCCGAAAAGGCAAAAUGCGCAAGCCGGGGAUCUGUCUGGUCCCCCCUGCGUGUUGCCGAUCCUGUUGCUGGUCCUGCUGCCGCAACCCUCGGUCCGGUCUGAUCUUAUACUGGGAAUGAACUUCGUAUGCUUAGACAUGGAAUGAACUGCGUAUGCCUAAGCCAAACCAUGAAACGAGCGUAUGGGCGCUUAACCGGUCGGAGAGGCAAAAUGUGUAAGCUGGGGAUCAGCCCGAUCCACCCUACGUGCUGUCGAUCCUGCUACCGCAACCCUUGAUCCGGUUCGAUCUUUGACUGGGAAUGAACUUCGUAUGCCUAAGUCAACCUACGAAACGAGCAUGCGAGCGUUGAGUUGACCGGAGAGGGAUAAUAUGCAACCAGAGAUCGGCCCGAUCUCCUUCUGCGUGCUGUCGGUCUCGCUGCCACAACCCUCGGUCCAGCUGGGGCUUAGACAUGGAAUGAACUCCCUAUGCCUAAGCCAACCCACGAAAUGGGAGUACGGGCGCUCAGUCGAUCGGAGAGGCAGAAUGCGCAAGCUGGGGAACGGCUCUGUCCCCUCUGUGUGCUGUCGAUCCUACUGCUGCAACCCUCGGUCCGGUCUCAUUUUAGACUGGGAAUGAACUUUGUAUGCUUAGACUGGGGAUGAACUCCGUAUGCCUAAGUCAACCCACGAAACGAGUGAGCGGGCGCUAAACCAACUAGAGAGGCAAGAUGCGCAAGCCGGGGAUCGAACGGAUGGUGAGUGGGUGGGUUCAAGCACAUCUUCAUAUUUAUGCAUUGCCAAUGCCAUUUUUAUGGCUUGUAAAUUCAUACAAUGGUCCCCUAAGCCUUCAUGUGAAGUUCCGUGGCAAGACGACCCAUUUUCUAUUUUUCAUGAUUUUUAAAACUUUUUGCGGUUUGGGAUUUUUUAAAAUUUUUUUAGAAAGAGUUUUGUCCCCAAAUUUGGUAUAGGUGAUCCUUGUAUUUUUUUUGGCAUGCAUAAAAAAAUUCAGCUAAAAACUCGAAGUGGAGAAGAUUUUGUGACCAUUUCAGACACUUCAAUGGCUACUAGCAGCAAACCUACAAAACUCAAAUACUCUUUAAGGGGGUGUGAGUUCUUGAGGUUUGAUGAGGGAUAGGGGGCCAAUAUAAGGGCCAAGUGUCACACCCUGGGUGGGAUACGCUAGGCACAUUAGGUGCACCAGCAGGCGAGCCAGAGGUUGAGGCCCGUAAACCAGGCGUGCUGACGGGUAUCUACGCGUAAAGCCUAGCAUGCUGCCGAUCCUACUGUCGUAACCCUCGAUCUGAUUUGAUCUUAUACUGGGAAUGAACUUCGUAUGCUUAGAUUAUAGAUGAACUUCGUAUGCCUAAGUCAACCCAAGAAACGAGGGUACAGGAACUCAGCCGACCAGAGAGGCCAGCUAGAGAGGCAUAAUGCGCAAGCCGGGGAUCAGCUCGGUCCCCCUCUGUGUGCUACCGAUCCUGCUGCACAACCCUCUGUCCGAUUGGGGCUUAGACAUGGAAUGAACUCCGUAUGCCUAAGCCAACCCACGAAACGAGCGUGCGGGUGCUCAACCAGUCGGAGAGGCAGAAUAUGCAAGCCGAGGAUCAGCCUGGUCCCCCCUACGUGCUGUCGAUCCUGCUGCCACAACCCUCGGUCCAGUCUGAUCUUAGACUAGGAAUGAGCUCCGUAUGCUUAGACAUGGAAUGAACUCCGUAUGCCUAAGCCAACCCACGAAAUGAGCGUACAGGCGCUCAGCCAACCGGAGAGGCAGAAUGCGUAAGCCGGGGACCGGCCUGGUCCCCCCUACGUGCUAUCGAUCCUGCUAUCGCAACCCUCAGUCCAGUCUGAUCUUAGACUGGGAAUGAACUCCGUAUGCCUAAGUCAACCCACGAAACGAGCAUACGGGUGCUGAACUGACCAGAGAGGCAUAUUGCGCAAGUCGGGGAUUGGCCCGAUCCCCCUCUGCGUGCUACCAGUCCCGCUGCCACAACCCUCGGUCCGACUGGGGCUUAGACAUGGAAUGAACUCCCUAUACCUAAGCCAACCCACGAAACGGGCGUGUGAGCGUUCAGCCGGUUGGAGAGGCAGAAUGCGCAAGCCGGGGAUUGGCUCGGUCACCCCUGCGUGCUGUCGAUCCUGUUACCGCAACCCUCAAUCCGAUCCGAUCUUAGACUGAAAUGAACUCUGUAUGCUUAGACUGGGGAUGAACUCCGUAUGCCUAAGUCAACCCACGAAAUGCACGUGCGGGCACUCAGUCGACCAGAGGGCAGGAUGCGCAAGCCGGGGAUCGAACAGGUGGUAGGUGGGUUCAAGCAGAUCUUCAUAUUUCUGCCGUGCCAAUGCCAUUUUUAUGGCUUGUAAAUUCAUACAAUGGUCCCCUAGGCCUUUAUGUGAAGUUUCGUGGGAAGAUGACUCGUUUUCUAUUUUCGAAACAUUUUACGGUUCGAGAUUUUUUAAAAAUUUUUUAAAAAGAGUUUUAUCCCCAAAUUUGGUAAUGGUGAUCCUUGUAUUUUUGUUGGCAUGCAUAAAAAAAUUCAGCUGAAAAAUCGAAGUGGAGAAGAUUUUGUGACCGUUUGAAAAAAAUUCUCCCAUUUUAGACACUUUAAUGGCUAUUGGCAGCAAACCUAUAAAAUCUCAAAUGCUCUUUAAGGGGGUGUGAGUUCUCGAGGUUUGAUGAGGGUUAGAGGGAAAAUAUAAGGGCCAAGUGUCACGCCCUGGGAGGGGCGUGCCAGGCACAUCAGGCCCACCAGUUGGCGAGCCAGAGGUUGAGGCCCGCAGACCAGGUGUGGUGACGGGUAUCUGUGCUCAAAGCCUAGCAAGCGAGUUUAAAACGCCCGCCCAACUUGCAGGCCAGCCCAUGAGACCAAAGCCUGGCAUACAAGCAGCCCGCACCACAUCUAGAAGGGCCCAAGGUGCUCGACACAUAAGGGAAGAUUCUGGAAGCAGGCAGGAUCAACAGUAGCAUCUUGGCAGAUUUAGUUGACCCUGAAAAUCAGGAGUUAGCAUCCUAAUUGAUUGUAAUCUGUAUAAUCCCAUGAUUUUAGCCUUUAUUCUAGAUAUAUUGCCAUUAAGUGUAAGCUGAAGCCUCAACUAUAAAUAGAGGGCUGUUCCUCCCUCAUUUGUACACCAUCAAACACUUCUAUUUCAGUGAAUACAAGAGCAUUUCCAUAAUUCUACCUUCUUAUCCUGUUUCUCUUUAACUUGGGUAAGCAGCCCUUCCUGUUGUUCUAGUGCCCGUACAGUUGUGUUUUAGGCUGACUUAGGCAUAAAGGAAGAGAUUCCAAGCCUAAGGCCGCACGGUUUCUGAGUCUAAGGUCAGAGCCCGUGACAGUUGGUAUUAGAGCAAGUUCGAUUCUGCGUGUUUGUGUUGUGCAGGUUAGAGGAGAUGGCAUCCCAAAGUGACGCUGCUAACCAACAACUAGAGGCCCAGGAGCAUGGGCGUGGAAGAGGGAGGAAAGCCAGUUCUAGAUAUAUCUGGUCUACCAUGGACGGUAGGCUGGCCAAGGUGGAAGUGACCAUGGGUGACAUGGGGGAAAAGCUUGAGGGGGUAGAGACUCACAUUGCAUCGCUAGACUCCAUCAGGGAAGAGAUCCAAAGUGAGUUGCAAGCUGCUCUCAACAAAGGUUUGGACGUGUUCACCCAAAAGAAUCAGACCUUUGAGGCUGAAAUGCUGACCUUGCGCGAUGGCAUGGAGGCCAUGCCCCAGCAGAUGGAGAAGCUUACCAGUAAGCUCGUUGCUUGCAAGAUGCCAUUGGAAAUGGCAUGUUUGCUGGAAUGUCCAAGUCCAGAUUGGAUGUCCCCAAGCCUAAGGAGUGUAAGGGGACUAAGGUGGCCAAGGAAGUAGAUAACUACCUUUGAGGUAUAGAGCAGUACUUCCAGGCCAUGGGCAUGCAAGACGAGGCGAUAAAGGUAAGCACCGCUACUAUGUAUCUCACUGAUGUAACCUUAUUGUGGUAGAGGCACAGGUGUGAUGAUGUCAGGCAUGGAACGCCAAGAUUGGAACCUGGGCAGAGUUCCAAAAGGAGUUCAGAGAAUAAUUUUACCCAGAGUAUGCCGAUGAUGAGGCGUGGGCAAAGUUACGCAGGCUGAGCCAGCAAGGUGACAUAAGGGAGUAUGUCCAGAAAUUCUCUGAACUGAUGCUACAGAUCUCAGAUCUAGGCGAGAAGGACACCUUAUUUGCUUUCAUGGAUGGGCUGAAGCCGUGGGUGAAGCAUGAGCUACAAAAGAGAGGAGUUCAUGACUUGGCUAAAGCCAUGACUACUGUCGAGGCCUUGAUAGAGUUCAAGCCUAUGAACAAGUUCGAGUCUACCAAGCCCAAGGGUAAGGGCAGGGACGAUAGGGAUCGAAAGAAGCAGUCCAAGGGGAAAGAUCGUGAUCGGGAGUCCAAGGAUGGAGAUCGAGACCGUUCAACCAAGGAUGGCGAGAGAAAGCCACCAACAGGCAAGUGGAAAGCAAAGGGGGACCGAGAGCCACUAGCAUGCUACCUAUGUGGAGGGAGCCACAUAGCACAUAAUUGCUCGCAAAAGUGCAAGCUGGUUGCUGUAGACAAGGAGUUUGACGAGGAGCCAGAGUUAGGGGCAGCAAAGCUUGGGUCAUUGGUGCUCAAUGCUGUCUAGAGUAAGGGGAGCCGCAAGCCAAAGGGCUUGAUGUUUGCGGAUCUGAUGGUUGUGGGUUAGAAGGUGAGCGCAUUGGUGGACACAGGUGCCUCACAUCUUUUUAUUU